AGUGAACGUUGGCGGCGUGGAUUAGGCAUGCAAGUCGAGCGAGAACCGUAGCAGUACGGGGACAGCGGCGAAAGGGACAGUAAUGUGUAGGUACCUACCUCCGGGUUCGGGAUAGCUGCGGGAAACUGCAGGUAAUACCGAAUAACGUCUCCGGACCAAAGGUGUGAUUCCACCUGGAGAGGGGCCUGCAUCCUAUUAGCUUGUUGGCGGGGUAACGGCUUACCAAGGCGACGAUGGGUAGCGGGGGGGAGAGCAUGACCCGCGUCAUUGGGACUGAGACACUGCCCAGACACCUACGGGUGGCUGCAGUCGAGGAUCUUCGGCAAUGGGCGCAAGCCUGACCGAGCGACGCCGCGUGCGGGAUGAAGGCCUUCGGGUUGUAAACCGCUGUCGUAGAGGAGGAAAUGCAGGAGGGUUCUCCCUUCUGUUUGACCUAUUCUAGGAGGAAGUACGGGCUAAGUUCGUGCCAGCAGCCGCCGUAA
rnacentral:rRNA from 1 species